GACGAACGCUGGCGGCGUGCUUAACACAUGCAAGUCGAACGGAAAGGCCCCUUUGGGGGUACUCGAGUGGCGAACGGGUGGGUAACACGUGCGUAACCUGCCCUUGACUUCGGGAUAACUUCAGGAAACUGGGGCUAAUACCGGAUAGGAAUCCUUGCUGCAUGGUGGGGGUUGGAAAGCUUCGGCGGUUUUGGAUGGACUCGCGGCUUAUCAGCUUGUUGGUGGGGUAGUGGCUUACCAAGGCUUUGACGGGUAGCCGGCCUGAGAGGGCGACCGGCCACAUUGGGACUGAGAUACGGCCCAGACUCCUACGGGAGGCAGCAGUGGGGAAUAUUGCACAAUGGGCGGAAGCCUGAUGCAGCAACGCCGCGGGCGGGAUGACGGCCUUCGGGUUGUAAACCGCUUUCAGCAGGGGCGAAGCUUGUGGUGACGGUACCUGCAGAAGAAGCACCGGCUAACUACGUG
rnacentral:rRNA from 1 species